rnacentral:rRNA from 1 species
UACAGAGGGUGCGAGCGUUGUCCGGAAUCACUGGGCGUAAAGGGCGCGUAGGCGGCUUGAUAAGCGUGCGGUGAAAGCCCGGGGCUCAACCCCGGGUCGGCCGUGCGAACUGUCGAGCUGGAGCACUGUAGAGGCAGGUGGAAUCCGGGUGGUAGCGGUGGAAUGCGUAGAGAUCCGGAAGAACACCGGUGGCGAAGGCGGCCUGCUGGGCAGUGGCUGACGCUGAGGCGCGACAGCGUGGGAGGCAACAGGG